ensembl:lncRNA
AUGGAAAAAAAAAAUGGUUGUGGAAAAUUGAUUUUUAAAUAUUUAAAUAUUUGGUACUUAUUUGAAGGAUAUUUUUUUAAUGAUGAAAUAGUAGGAAAAGGAAUUAUUUCUUUAAUAGAUAAAGAUUAUGUAAAAAGAAUAGGACAAAGAAAAAUUGAUAAAUUAUGUCCUCUUUUGAUUAAAGCCAAUUUUGGUAAACAUAAAUUAAAAAAAAGAGAAACAAAUGAAAAUUUCUAUUUUGGUGUAGGUGUAGGUGAUAAAAAUGAUGAAGAAAGUACUUACGAAAAAAAAAGUACAAGUAGUAUUAGUAAUACGCGACAAACAGGUAAUAACAGCAGUGUAAGUGAUCCAAAUAUUAACAAUGAACAAAAUGUUUUGAGAAAUAUUAACAACACACUUGAUCAAAGUAUUAACAAUCAUAACAUAAAUGAAAAACGUAGUAGUAAUAAUAGUAAUACUCAUAAUACCAGUAGUAGUUAUAGCGAUAGUGAAAAUAGUUAUAAACAGGAUACUCCUGCAACAAUGAAAAAAAAGAAAAAUGAUGGGGUACAAUAUGAUUCAGCACACUAUGACGCGACAACAACGGAUUCUAUUAGAAGUGAUGGAACCAGAAGUGAUGGAACCAAAAGUGGUGGAACCAAAAGUGAUGAAACCAGAAGUGAUGAAACCGAAAGUGAUGAAACCGAAAGUGAUGAAACCGAAAGUGAUGAAACUGAAAGUGAUGGAACCAGAAGUGGUGGAACCAGAAGUGGUGAAACAAAAACAGAUGUGACAAGAACAGAUGCAACAAGAACAGAUGCGACAAGAGUUGAUAUAAAAAAAAAAGAAAUAGCGAAAAAAAAAAAAAGGGAAAAAAAAAAGGAAAAAAAAAAAGAAAAACUAAUCGAACUUAUUGAAAGGACUGUGAUGGAAAAUUACAGUGAAGUCAAUAAUGUCGAUUUUUGGCCACAAAAAAUUAUAGAUAUAUUUUUCCCAUAUUUAAAAAAAUGGGACACCUACUCAUUUUAUUGUUCAAGUAAUAUAGAACAUGUAAAUAGUAAAAAAAGCUGUUUUCAAACAAAAGGAAACUAUUUUAGAAAUCUUAUUGGUUACCCUCCUUUUGAAUUACUAAAUGGAGAAAAUGAUUUAAUGGUGCCUAUGCAAUACAGUAUUGAUGGUGGUGAAUUUAGCGAGAUCGUUAACGAUUGGGGUUAUUCCUAUGGUUUAGAUAGUAUUUACACACAUAAACCACUUCGUUCAGCAUCAGCUGAGCUUAUUCGAACGGCAACAGCUAACCUUAUUCGUUCGAGGUCAGCUGCUCUUGCACAUGCUUCGACAGUUAGUUAUAGGCUUACAUCACACACUCAGCCUACCGGUGCAACCAUGUAUGACAAUAUGACAAAAGAGUCAAAAAAAAGAGGUAAAAAAGUGGGUUCGAAUUUAGGGGCAGGUUCGAAUUUAGGGGCAGGUUCNNNNNNNNNNUUAGGGGCAGGUUCAAACUUAGGGGCAGGUUCACAGUUCCAAACAAAUUCAUACAUUCCAAUGAGUAAAAAUACAAAAGGAACUGCAAAUGUUGAAGUAGUAGGCCAGCAGUCACACAACAUAUUUGGUGGGUCACAAAUAUACGACUUUGGAAAAAAUAAAAAAGAUACUAACAUCCUUAUCCAACUGGGUGAAAAUAGUAACUUACUAUAUAAAGAAUUUGUCGCAUAUAUGAAACGAAGUGAUAAGAUCCAAAAAAAAACAAAGUUAUAUUAUCCUAUAUUAAGUGAGAACGUAGGUUUAGUAAAAAUAAUUUAUGCUGAUAAGAGUGAAUAUCUAGGUCCUAUAAAUGAUAAAGGACAACCUAACACCAAUAAAGAACAUCCGAAAGCAUUUUUUAACAAUAAUUAUUUUUUUUAUGAAGGAGAAAUGAAAGAUUGUUUACCUAACGGAUAUGGUAUAUUUAAAAAUAAAGAUACUAAUACAAAUACAUAUUUAGGAUAUUGGAAAAAUGGAUAUAGAGAAGGAAUUGGUAAUUUAAAUUUAAAAAAUAAAAAAUAUAUUAUUCAAGCUAAUUUUGUAAAAGAUCAAAUUCAUGAUAAUAUAACUAUUACCAUACGAGAUGGAAAAAUAGCUAAACUAUUUUUAAGUAAUUUAAAUAAAAAAUCACAAAAAAUAAAAAUAUUUUUCAGAAGUGGAUAUAUUUUUUAUGGCUAUUUUUCUGAAAGAUAUGAAAGAAAUGGAAUAGGUAUAUUAAUUGAUAAUAAUAAUAAAAUACUUUAUCAUGGUUAUUAUAAAAAUGAUAUUAUAAAUAAAUUUUGUUACAUUUUAAGACAUAAAGAUAAUACAGUAUAUAGUGGUAACCUACAUAAUGGUAAAAAAAAUGGAUUUGGAAAAUUAUAUUAUGAAGAAAAAUUAAAAUUUCACGAAGAAAAUAAUUUUAAUUUAAAUUAUUCUAAUAGUAAUAUUAUUUCAAGAAAAUUAGACUCUUAUAAUAUAAUUGAUCUAAAUACAGAUGUACCAUUUAAAUUUGUAUUCGAUUCAAGUCAUGCUAUAUAUAUAGGAUAUUGGGAAAAUAAUAAUAUUUCUCAUUAUGGUACAUGUAAUUUAAAAACUGGAAUUUAUAAAGGAGAUAUUAAAGAAUCACAAAAAGACGGAUUAGGAAUUUAUAUAUAUAAACAAAAUAAAUCUUAUAAAAAUAAAAAUAGAUAUAUUUUAUCCUAUUUUCAAAAUGAUAAAAUACAUAAUAUAGGGAAAUAUUAUAGUAAAAAUGAUAAAAUGAAAGUAUAUUCAAUUAUGGAUGAACAAAUUAAAAAUAAUAGACAUUUAUAUAAAUGUUUUACAAAACAAUAUGUAGAUUAUAAUAGAUUAAAAACAGAAAAAUUUACCAUUUCACAUGAUCUAGAUCCAUAUAUUAAUAUACCGCUCAGUGAUUCGUUAGCUAAUAUUAUGAAUGAGAUUAUGGAUUCAUCUACCAGUUUUGUGCAUUAUUUAUCCCUUCCUUUUCGAUUUGACCUUCCCUAUUUUUUAAAGAAGUAA